rnacentral:ncRNA from 1 species
AAUACCCCCCAAAUUUGAUUUUAGUUUUAAGGAUUAGUUUAUAAUUUUAUUUAUAUGUAGAUUUUAGUUAGAAAUAAAUUUUUUUUUCUUGAAGGGAAUUAAUAGACUGUUAAAAUCGCAAUAUUAAGUUUUAUAAAAUGAAAGUAAUUUUGAUUUAGAGAUUUAUAAUAAUAUUAACAAAAGUUGUGCCAGCAGUUGCGGUUAUACAAUUAAUAUAAUUAAUUUUAUUUAGUUAGUAAUUAAUUUGUAGUUUAUAUUAAAUUGAUUUUUAUUAAGUGAAAUUUUAAAUUUUUAAUAAUAUAUUAAUUAAAUGAAGUUACUAAAUUUUAUAAUAGACUAGGAUUAGAUACCCUAUUAUUAAAAAUGUAAAUAUAAAUGCUAUAUGAGUAUUAGUUAAGUUCUUUAAAGUUAAAAGAUUUGGCGGUAUUUUAGUCUAUUUAGAGGAACCUGUUCUGUAAUUGAUAAUCCACGAUUUAUACUACUUAUUUUUUAAAUUUGUAUAUCGUCGUAAUUUGAAUAUUUUAGAAGAAUCAAAUAUUCAUAAUUUAUAAUUAUAAAGUAAAUCAGAUCAAGGUGUAGUUAUAAAUAAGGUGUAAUGGGUUACAAUAAAUUUAUUUUUUGGAUUAAUAAUUGAAAAUUAUUAUGAAAUUGGAUUUAAUAGUAAUAAAAUUUAAUUAAAUUUUAUGAUUUAAGCUCUAAAAUAUGUACAUAUCGCCCGUCGCUCUCAUUUAAAGUGAGAUAAGUCGUAACAAAGUAGGGGUACUGGAAAGUGUUCCUAGAAAGAC